AUUGAACGCUGGCGGCAUGCCUUACACAUGCAAGUCGAACGGCAGCAUGGGUGCUUGCACCUGAUGGCGAGUGGCGAACGGGUGAGUAAUGCAUCGGAACGUACCCGGAAGUGGGGGAUAACGUAGCGAAAGUUACGCUAAUACCGCAUAUUCUGUGAGCAGGAAAGCGGGGGAUCGCAAGACCUCGCGCUUCCGGAGCGGCCGAUGUCGGAUUAGCUAGUUGGCGGGGUAAAGGCCCACCAAGGCAACGAUCCGUAGCGGGUCUGAGAGGAUGAUCCGCCACACUGGGACUGAGACACGGCCCAGACUCCUACGGGAGGCAGCAGUGGGGAAUUUUGGACAAUGGGCGCAAGCCUGAUCCAGCCAUGCCGCGUGAGUGAAGAAGGCCCUCGGGUUGUAAAGCUCUUUUGUCCGGAAAGAAAAGCAAUCGGUUAAUACCCGGUUGUUCUGACGGUACCGGAAGAAUAAGCACCGGCUAACUUCGUGCCAGCAGCCGA
rnacentral:rRNA from 1 species